rnacentral:rRNA from 1 species
AAUGCUGACAUAAGUAACGAUAAAGCGGGUGAAAAGCCCGCUCGCCGGAAGACCAAGGGUUCCUGUCCAACGUUAAUCGGGGCAGGGUGAGUCGACCCCUAAGGCGAGGCCGAAAGGCGUAGUCGAUGGGAAACAGGUUAAUAUUCCUGUACUUGGUGUUACUGCGAAGGGGGGACGGAGAAGGCUAUGUUGGCCGGGCGACGGUUGUCCCGGUUUAAGCGUGUAGGCUGGU